GAGAGAUUCAUCGUCAUUCCGCGGCGUACGGGCUGCGCGCUUCGAUGUCGUCGGCCUCGGUCGUCAGGCACGACGCGCGUCCGUCGACGUCCGCGGACGGCGUGCACUUCUCUCUUAGUAAAUACAUCGCGACCCGUUCGAUGUCGGUCUAAGCGCCGUACGGGAGUCCCAUGGUCCCCUCACGGGGUCUGUGGGACCGUCACGGUGGCCGACCGGCCGUCGGACGGUAGUUCUGACGAAACGCGCACGCGUUUAUAACGCGUCCGGCCCGACGCAAGUCAACGUCGUAUCCAACGUACCGCCUUAGCGCGGACGUAGGUGCGGCGCGACUGUUGUUGCCGCCGUGCAGUCUCGGAC
rnacentral:rRNA from 1 species